ACAAGUGCAUCGUCGGAUUUGGCCCAUGGGCGCCAGUUCGCCAACCACUGUCACAGACAGGGAGAGCGGGAGAGAGAAUGCGGACGGCAGAGACUCAUCACCGUGAGGUCAACUAAUUGGCCUUGGGUUGUGACUUUCUCCAGGACUGCUUGCCAAAUCAAGAUGAGCAGAGAAAGCGGAUAGUGCCCUGGGCAGGUACCUGGCAAAGUAGCUGACGAUACAGGUCAGGGCGGAAGAGUGUUCAGGACGAAAAGAGAGCAAUCUUCAAGUGCUGACCGCUGGUCAUGCAAGAAGAAAAUAAGAAGUAGUAAGGACAAGAACAAAAAGCCCCUGAACACUACACCGAGAGAUUCAUGAAGAACUCACUAAGCAAACUUAUGUGAAAUAAAAAAUG